GACGAACGCUGGCGGCGUGCCUAAUACAUGCAAGUCGAGCGAACAGACGAGGAGCUUGCUCCUCUGACGUUAGCGGCGGACGGGUGAGUAACACGUGGAUAACCUACCUAUAAGACUGGGAUAACUUCGGGAAACCGGAGCUAAUACCGGAUAAUAUAUUGAACCGCAUGGUUCAAUAGUGAAAGACGGUUUUGCUGUCACUUAUAGCUGGAUCCGCGCCGCAUUAGCUAGUUGGUAAGGUAACGGCUUACCAAGGCAACGAUGCGUAGCCGACCUGAGAGGGUGAUCGGCCACACUGGAACUGAGACACGGUCCAGACUCCUACGGGAGGCAGCAGUAGGGAAUCUUCCGCAAUGGGCGAAAGCCUGACGGAGCAACGCCGCGUGAGUGAUGAAGGUCUUCGGAUCGUAAAACUCUGUUAUUAGGGAAGAACAAAUGUGUAAGUAACUAUGCACGUCUUGACGGUACCUAAUCAGAAAGCCACGGCUAACUACGUG
rnacentral:rRNA from 1 species